AAGCGUGCGCAGGUCGGUUUUAGUAAGACUGUCGUGAAACUCCCCGGGCUCAACCUGGGAAUGGCGAUGGUGACUGCAAGGCUAGAGUUUGGCAGAGGGGGGUAGAAUUCCACGUGUAGCAGUGAAAUGCGUAGAUAUGUGGAGGAACACCGAUGGCGAAGGCAGCCCCCUGGGUCAAAACUGACGCUCAUGCACGAAAGCGUGGGGAGCAAACAGGAUUAGAUACCCUG
rnacentral:rRNA from 1 species